UUAAUGACAUAACCAAAUUAGAUCUAAUCACUUAAAAUAUUUCUAUAACAAAAAAAUCCCAUAUAUUCCGAUUAGUAAAUAAGAACAAAUCUCUUAAAAUACCAAUUCAGUUAUCAGUUCUUACCAAACUUAACAAAAUCUAUAAAUUCAAAUAUUAACAAAUCAAGCAUAUACCUUAACAAUCCUUAUUCGAAAUUAUUUACUUUGAUAUGAUUCAAGAAACCCUAAAGCAUUAUUAGCCGACUUUGAUUAAUAUAAAUAUAGAAUGUAAAAUGUCAUUGAAGAUACACACUAACUUUUCUUAGCGUAAAUGGAGAAUCCAACUUAAAAUUGCCCUUGAACGAAAUAUUCAAGUCUACUCAUAGUUUUCUUCCACUCACAUCUUUUUCAAACUUUUACGAAACUCUAGCUCUAUCGUCUUUCAUGUUUAACAAUGGCUCGAAAUCUUGAAUCUACUCUACUUUUCAAGACAGAGUUGAUGUAAAAGAUAAGAGUUGUGGAUACUGAAACCAUUUGGAAGAGAAGAAAUGAUGUGAUCUCACUAACCUUUUACAUUCGAGAAGAUAUGAUGUGAUCUCACUAACCGAGAAGACUUGAAAUCUGUUAGGGUUCUAGGUAAAUCUGCAAAUGUAAUAAACGAAAGUGUAAGAAUUGUGAU